AUGUCGGAGAAGAAGCGCGCCCCCGGCCCGCGCAAGGACGAGGUGGUGACCCGCGAGUACACCGUCAACCUCCACAAGCGCCUCCAUGGAUGCACCUUCAAGAAGAAGGCACCAAAUGCCAUCAAGGAGAUCAGGAAGUUUGCACAGAAGGCCAUGGGAACCAACGAUGUCCGCAUUGACGUGAAGCUCAACAAGCACAUCUGGAGCAGCGGCAUCAGGAGUGUCCCUAGGAGAGUCCGUGUCAGGAUUGCCCGCAAGAGGAACGACGAGGAGGAUGCUAAGGAGGAGCUGUACUCUCUGGUCACAGUUGCUGAAGUCCCCCAGGAAGGUCUUAAAGGUUUGGGUACCAAGGUUGUGGAGGAUGAGGACUAA
rnacentral:rRNA from 1 species